UACGGGGGGGGUAAGCGUUGUUCGGAAUUACGGGGCGUAAAGGGCUCGUAGGCGGCCAACUAAGUCAGACGUGAAAUCCCUCAGCUUAACUGGGGAACUGCGUCUGAUACUGGAUGGCUUGGAUUCGGGAGAGGAAUGCGGAAUUCCAGGUGUAGCGGUGAAAUGCGUAGAUAUCUGGAGGAACACCGGUGGCGAAGGCGGCAUUCUGGACCGACAUUGACGCUGAGGAGCGAAAGCUAGGGGAGCAAACAGG
rnacentral:rRNA from 1 species